UACGUAGGGUGCGAGCGUUAAUCGGAAUUACUGGGCGUAAAGGGUGCGCAGGCGGUUCUGUAAGUCAGAUGUGAAAUCCCCGGGCUUAACCUGGGAAUUGCGUUUGAAACUGCAGGGCUAGAGUGUGGCAGAGGGGGGUGGAAUUCCAUGUGUAGCAGUGAAAUGCGUAGAGAUAUGGAAGAACAUCGAUGGCGAAGGCAACCCCCUGGGUUAACACUGACGCUCAUGCACGAAAGCGUGGGGAGCAAACAGG
rnacentral:rRNA from 1 species